rnacentral:rRNA from 1 species
GUAACACGUAUGUAACCUACCUUCACCAGGGGGAUAGCCUCUCGAAAGAGAGAUUAAGACCGAUAACAUUAUAGGAUAGCAUUAUUUUAUAAUCAAAUAUUUAUAGGGUGAAGAUGGGCAUGCGGAACAUUAGCUAGUUGGUAAGGUAAUGGCUUACCAAGGCUACGAUGUUUAGGGGAUCUGAGAGGAUGACCCCCCACACUGGUACUGAGACACGGACCAGACUCCUACGGGAGGCAGCAGUAAGGAAUAUUGGUCAAUGGGCGGAAGCCUGAACCAGCCAUGCCGCGUGCAGGAAGACGGCCCUACGGGUUGUAAACUGCUUUUAUACGGGAAUAAACCUACUUACGUGUAAGUAGCUGAAUGUACUGUAAGAAUAAGGAUCGGCUAACUCCGUGCCAGCAGCCGCGGUAAUACGGAGGAUCCAAGCGUUAUCCGGAUUUAUUGGGUUUAACAGGGUGCGUAGGUGGCCUGUUAAGUCAGGGGUGAAAGACGGUAGCUUAACUAUCGCAGUUGCCCUUGAUACUGAUGGGCUUGAAUGAACUAGAGG